rnacentral:sRNA from 1 species
UUUUUUUUUUUUUUUUUUUAACAGUAGUAAAAUUGUAAACUUUUAUUUUUAUACCAUAGUAGUAUGGCUAUGAUUGGAAGGUUGUAGUGUCAGUCAAGUUGGAAAAACUGUUGGCACUUUUUUUCUGAAUCAAUGGAAUUCUUAUCAAACACAUGCAAACGUAUAAAGAAGACUUGAAUAGAUAAUCUUUGAAUUCAAACAAAUCCUAGUCAACUGAACAACGCAUCUACCUCAGCAGUCCUUGGGAAAUGUAUAAAUAGGCAAGCAUUAAACUUUUAUAUAUAAAACCAUCAAGAUCUCUAUUUUUAACUCGGUGGUUUCUUUCACAAGACUUACUUCAAGAACGACAACACAUCCUGACAGUUAAUUCAUUAAUACUAAUACUAUCGAGGAUUCUGUCAUCCAAGUGGAAUGAACAUGGGCAUCAAAGGAAUGUUUCCUCAAAGUGAGAACUAUAGUGUUGCAAGAGCGAAUACUUGGUCGCUUAGAACAAAACGAAUUACUGUCAUUAGGAUAUGCUCAAAAGUGUGGCGCUAUAUCUUGUAUCUAUUGCUACGUUCAUUCAUUGAUCCAACAGUAUGGGUAUAGAAAGAAGACGAUAAGCAGGAGUUGCGCAAACGAAGUUAUGGAGUUUCUUGCAUGCAUGCAUGNUUUGGCAUAAAGCUGGUACUUCGAAAUAUGCCUAUGAAAUCUCUACCUGCUUUGCACCCUAAAUAUAACGUGGCCGUCUUGUAGCUGCAUGUGNAAUUACCACGGAUUGAUAGAUGAAAACAAAAUCGACUUGUUGCCC